UACGUAGGGUGCGAGCGUUGUCCGGAAUUAUUGGGCGUAAAGAGCUCGUAGGCGGUGUGUCACGUCGGCCGUGAAAACCUGCAGCUUAACUGUGGGCGUGCGGUCGAUACGGGCAUCACUGGAGUUCGGCAGGGGAGACUGGAAUUCCUGGUGUAGCGGUGAAAUGCGUAGAGUAUCGUAAGGAAGACCAGUGGCGAAGGCGGGUCUCUGGACAGUUCCUGA
rnacentral:rRNA from 1 species